GGAGUCUGGGCCGUGUCUCAGUCCCAAUGUGGCCGUCCGCCCUCUCAGGCCGGCUACUGAUCGUCGCUUUGGUGGGCCGUUACCUCACCAACUGGCUAAUCAGACGCGGGUCCAUCCCGGACCACCGGAGUUUUUCACACAGGAUCAUGCGGUCCCGUGCGCUUAUGCGGUAUUACCAGCCGUUUCCAGCUGCUAUCCCCCGGUCCGGGGCAGGUUCCCCACGCGUUACUCACCCGUCCGCCACUAUGAUCAAGAUCAUUCCGCCGAAGCCUCAUUCUCUUGUUCACCGUUCGACUUGCAUGUGUUAGGCACGCCGCCAGCGUUCAUC
rnacentral:rRNA from 1 species